GGGGAAUAUUGGACAAUGGGCGAACGCCUGAUCCAGCCAUGCCGCGUGUGUGAAGAAGGUCUUCGGAUUGUAAAGCACUUUAAGUUGGGAGGAAGGGCUGCAAGUUAAUACCUUGUAGUUUUGACGUUACCAACAGAAUAAGCACCGGCUAACUUCGUGCCAGCAGCCGCGGUAAUACGGAGGAUGCAAGCGUUAUCCGGAUUCAUUGGGUUUAAAGGGUGCGCAGGCGGAUUGAUAAGUCAGGGGUGAAAUCCCACAGCUCAACUGUGGAACUGCCUUUGAUACUGUUAGUCUUGAGUAUAGUUGAAGUGGGCGGAAUGUGUCAUGUAGCGGUGAAAUGCUUAGAUAUGACACAGAACACCGAUCGCGAAGGCAGCUCGCUAAGCUAUAACUGACGCUCAUGCACGAAAGCGUGGGGAUCAAACA
rnacentral:rRNA from 1 species